rnacentral:rRNA from 1 species
UACGUAGGUGGCAAGCGUUGUCCGGAAUUAUUGGGCGUAAAGCUCGCGCAGGCGGUCCUUUAAGUCUGAUGUGAAAGCCCACGGCUCAACCGUGGAGGGUCAUUGGAAACUGGGGGACUUGAGUGCAGAAGAGGAAAGCGGAAUUCCACGUGUAGCGGUGAAAUGCGUAGAGAUGUGGAGGAACACCAGUGGCGAAGGCGGCUUUCUGGUCUGUAACUGACGCUGAGGCGCGAAAGCGUGGGGAGCAAACAGG